rnacentral:rRNA from 1 species
UACGGGGGGGGCGAAGCGUUGUUCGGAAUUACUGGGCGUAAAGGGCUCGUAGGCGGCCAACUAAGUCGGACGUGAAAUCCCUCAGCUUAACUGGGGAACUGCGUCUGAUACUGGAUGGCUUGGAUUCGGGAGAGGGAUGCGGAAUUCCAGGUGUAGCGGUGAAAUGCGUAGAUAUCUGGAGGAACACCGGUGGCGAAGGCGGCAUCCUGGACCGACAUUGACGCUGAGGCGCGAAAGCCAGGGGAGCAAACGGG